rnacentral:lncRNA from 1 species
GGAUUACCUUUUCCAGCCUGGAAAUUAGGCAGUCGACUUUGGAGGCGUGAUGUGGUGCCAUCUGCUUGGGGUUGCGAGUACCUGUUCAGUGCCGAGCUUCCUGAGGGGAUCCUGACUUCAGCCUUUGUCUGGAAGGCACUUCCUUCAGGUCCUGGGAAACCCCCUUCCAGCUUAUCGUUCGGAUCUCAACUGCUUACAGCUGCCAAAUGGCAACAUACUCAGACUGAAUGGAUGAUGCUCACUUCUAGCCAUUUCUCCAGCCACAGGAAGUGCCACACUCCAAACUCUGGCCACAGCAUCCUCUACCUGGACGUCAUGUGCCUCCACACGUCACUGACAGGAGCCUUAGUCCUUGGAUCCUUCGUGGAAGACUGCUGCUGUUGCUCACGAUCCUUCAUCGUUCCUUUGUACUCUUUGACACUAGCCAUCUAGAUCAAUCCCAUCAUCUUCCCAGUGAGAAAACUGAGGUCCAUGGUCAGGUGCUGAACCAGGUUUCAAGGCAGAACCACUUCAGUACUUCCUCAGCACCGGCAGUCCAUCAAGAUUCACCCAGGACUUCUUUAUGAAAUCACAGGAUGCCCCAUAGUGUGUUACCUCACUGUGGGAAACAUACUGGCAGUGGCUGCAGGGCAGAAACAGCAGACUUUGGAGCCAGCCAGGCCUGGAGGACAUUGAAACUCUGCUGUGUACAGGAUUUCAGAGCUUUCAGUCUGUGGGCAUUUGUUGCUUUGGGGUCUGUGGCAAAGCAGUAAAUUCAUCUACUAAGGUGCUUACAAUGGGGUGAACUGAGAAAGGUGAAUCUUUUGUGUGUGUGUUUGUGUGUAUGGUACCAGGGAUCGAACUCAGGGCCUUGCGCUUGCCAGGCAGUUGUGGCUCCACUGAGCUACAUCCCUGGCCAAGAAAGUUGAAUCUUUUUUUAUUUGGUACCAGGGAUCGAACUCAGGUCCUUCCACUUUCGAGGCAGGAGUCGGAACCACUGAGCUAAAUCCCCGGCCCCAAGAAAGUUGAAUCUUUACACAUUCCAUUGCCCUCUAGACUGCUCCUUGCAAAAUUUUUAUUUACUGGAGGCUGAACUACUCCCUUAAACUGAAAUAGUGUGAUUUGUAGCCCAGAAUCAGUGCCAUGUACCAUAUCAUACACUCUUGGUUCCUCAACCUGUUGGCUUCUCUGAAAACUGUUAUUAGGUUGCCAAAACUGAUCAUAAAUCCAGCCUCCCUAAAGCAAAAAUAUCUAGUUUAUCUUAUAUAAAAAUAAAACUAUGCUCAGUCUAUUUUAUGCAUUGCAUUAUCUCCUUGUUAAUAAAGUUUUAAAAGUAAGAAUAGGUUUCUGAGAUAUUCCUUUUCAAUAAUGAUUGCAGCCAUAUCAAUUGAGGACAGGAAGGAAAAAAGAAGAGAAACUGUAAUUCAGAAAGAUGACUGGGCUGGGGAUUUAGCUCAGUGAUGUCGCCCCCUGCCUUGAAAGCGCAAGGUCCCGAGUUUGAUCCCCAGCACCAAAAAAAAAGAAAGAAAGAAAGAAAGAUGACUUGAUCAAAGAACUUCAAAGGCAUUCAUAGAGGAAGAGUUAGCUGGAAAAAGGCAGGAAAAGCCGGUAGAAAGAGUGACUUGCAAACGAGGCCCCCAGCCAACUUCCCAAUGCUCUAACACUCUCCUCUAUAGGGAUGGAGGUUGCGAAGGGGGCCUGUUCCCUGUUUGGACAGCUCUAGGCAUGAAAGCAGUCUCAUCCGGGCUAAAUCCACCUCCCCUUAGAUAACUUCUGCUGUACAGUGGUUUUUAUUUAGUCUUCUGAAACCUCUCUGAACAAGUUUAAUCCCUCUUCUGUGUGAGAUCCCUUUGAGUAUUUCAAGAUAUUUAUUACACCAAAAUCCUAACUAAAAAGAAAAGCUCACUCCCUGAGCUGUCUUCCAAUAGCGUGAUCUGCAAUCCCUCAGCACCUUUGUCUACUUCUAAAAAUGUGCCCAGCACUGAUUGCAGAAGUCUGGCCUUGCAGGGGAGUCUUUCACCGCCCACCUUGGUUCUGGGUCCUUCCCCCGCAUGCUGAUUUGUGUUAACAACCAACUCAAACUCAGUCUUUUCUA